UUUUUAGCCCAAUGUUAAGGCCCAAAUCUGAAGCCCAAACACCUUACCCAUGCCCAAUUCCCCAUCAGGUUUUCUUUUUGGAAUUAAAAAACCCUAAACCUUCUUCUUCUUCUUCUCCCGGAACCAAAAAAUACACACAAGACACAAACUCUAGAACACCCCAAGAGAGCAACGCCAACCGAACAGACCCCUCCACCUCAUCUUCAACUCCCCGUCGUUGCACCCCACUGUAGCUUUCUAAAGCAACAUCGCCCACCACCCCAUUUAACCAAAAACUCACCGGAAUCUCCUCCCCACCCAGCAGCGGAACCCAACAGCCCAUUCCAGCCGCUGCUUCUCCAUCUCCUCACAUCAAACGACCACCCAACACCAUCAUCUCCAGCCCCAGCUCGUCAGAAAACAAGCUGCAAUAUCCACCGCCCAAAAUCCGUCCUCUCUUCACCCCAUCCAGCUGCUGUUUCACCAAAAGCCAGCAGCAGCAGCUCGCCGGAAUCCAAACACCACCCUUCAACUCCACCCAUCUUCAUCUCCCUCACGCCAGACACACGCACACACGCACCAACAACAGACGAAAAAAAUCUAGACAGAAUUUCUAAGGGACUUGCCGAGUUUGAUUGUUGCUAUGGAGUUCGAUUAAAGUGAGGAGGUUGUUUGAAGCUGGUUCGUAGUUCCGGCCAUUAUCGAGGUUUCCGGUCGCGUGUCCAAUUGCUCAUUUAAAGAUUUGCUGAUGAUUCAUUGUUGGGUGCUCUUUCAUUAAUCAGACUUUGAGAGAUUACAUCAUAAACCAUGUCCGAGCAACAGUUGAGAACCCGAGAAGCCUCUUGAAGUUCAUCGUUUCCUGUAAUACAAGCAAUGCAGCUAAGUAUACAUGCUACCUGCUGGAGGCAAAACAUGAACCCCUACAACCAAAGCCAAUGCAGAUUAGCUGAGGUAGUAAAAAAACAAGAAGAUAACUAGAUAAAUCACUAGCAAAGCUGAAGAGAGAAGUUGAAUUUACGAUUAUGCAAUUAUCGCAUUUUGUCGUCUGCAGAUUGAACUCAUCUUGCAACAUAAAGCGCGUUGAGGCAACUGAAUUUGCGAAGCAAAGAAACACCUGAACAGUAGAGAAUGAUUAAGUAAUUAAGUAGGACAGCUGAAGAAAAAGCUCAUAAAGCCCGUUUGACUUAGCUCCAAGUGCUGAAACUUAUUUUAUAAAUAAGCUGUUAUAUGACAUGAAUUUUGAGAUUGAA